UACGAAGGGUGCAAGCGUUACUCGGAGUUACUGGGCGUAAAGCGUGCGUAGGUGGUUGUUUAAGUCUGUCGUGAAAGCCCUGGGCUCAACCUGGGAAUUGCGAUGGAAACUGGGCGACUAGAGUGUGGCAGAGGGUAGUGGAAUUCCUGGUGUAGCAGUGAAAUGCGUAGAGAUCAGGAGGAACAUCCGUGGCGAAGGCGACUGCCUGGGCCAACACUGACACUGAGGCACGAAAGCGUGGGGAGCAAACAGGAUUAGAUACCCUGGUAGUCCACGCCCUAAACGAUGCGAACUGGAUGUUGGGUGCAAUUUGGCACGCAGUAUCGAAGCUAACGCGUUAAGUUCGCCGCCUGGGGAGUACGGUCGCAAGACUGAA
rnacentral:rRNA from 1 species